rnacentral:tRNA from 1 species
GGAGAGGUGGCAGAGCGGCCGAAUGCACCGGUCUUGAAAACCGGCGUACCGCAAGGUACCGGGAGUUCGAAUCUCCCCCUCUCCG